rnacentral:rRNA from 1 species
UACGAAGGGUGCAAGCGUUAUUCGGAAUCAUUGGGCGUAAAGCGCGCGCAGGCGGAUUGAUAAGUCAGGUGUGAAAUCUCGGGGCUCAACCUCGAAACUGCGCCUGAAACUAUUAGUCUAGAAUGUCGGAGGGGGCAGGCGAAUUUCACGUGUAGGGGUAAAAUCCGUAGAGAUGUGAAGGAACACCGGAGGCGAAGGCGCCUGCCUGGACGAUUAUUGACGCUGAGGCGCGAAAGCGUGGGGAGCAAACAGG